rnacentral:rRNA from 1 species
GACGAACGCUGGCGGCGUGCUUAACACAUGCAAGUCGAACGCGAAAAGGGCUUCGGCUCUUAGUAGAGUGGCGAACGGGUGAGUAACACGUGGGUGACCUACCUUCGAAUGGGGGAUAACGCCCCGAAAGGGACGCUAAUACCGCAUAACAUCCUGCCUUUGAACAGGUGGAGAUCAAAGCCGGGGAUCGCAAGACCUGGCGUUUGAAGAGGGGCCCGCGUCUGAUUAGCUUAGUUGGUGAGGAACGGCCCACCAAGGCGACGAUCAGUAUCCGGCCUGAG